rnacentral:tRNA from 1 species
AUGAGUGUUGAGGGCUCCGGCUCUUAACUUCAAGAAGAUCAUUCAUUUUGAUGUUAAUGAAGGGCGCUGCUUUGAAAUUGGCAGCCUCGUUUGACUGGUUAUUUGGCUUUGAGAGAGCUGUUUGUUCUUUUAGAGUUUUUUAGUGGAAAUAAAUGAGCGGGCCUGUAGCUCAGCUGGUUAGAGCGCACGCCUGAUAAGCGUGAGGUCGGUAGUUCAAGUCUACCUAGGCCCACCACGUUUGGGGCUGUAGCUCAGCUGGGAGAGCGCCUGAUUUGCAUUCAGGAGGUCAUCGGUUCGAUCCCGUUCAGCUCCACCAAUUGUUCUUUGAAAAUUAAAUAAUACGCAAUAACAAUUAAGUUAGAAAAUCAAGUAUCAAGUUUAUUUUAUUUUGAGUUUAAAGUUGCUAAACAUAACAACCUUAAUCUUGAUCUAGAAGAUGAUAAGCUACUAAGAGCGCAUGGUGGAUGCCUUGGC